rnacentral:rRNA from 1 species
CCCCUAGAUGUUCUGGGCCGCACGCGCGCUACACUGAACAGUUCAACAAGUCUUAACCUUGGCCGAUAGGUCUGGGUAAUCUUUGAACGCUGUUCGUGAUUGGGAAAGACCUUUGCAAUUAUGGGUCUUCAACGAGGAAUUCCUAGUAAACGCAAGUCAUCAGCUUGCAUUGAUUACGUCCCUGCCCUUUGUACACACCGCCCGUCGCACCUACCGAUUGAAUGGUCCGGUGAAAUCUCGGGACGGCGGCUUGGUCGCUUGCGUCCGACUGCUGAAACUUGAUUAAACCAUAUCAUUUAGAGGAAGGUGAAGUCGUAACA